CUAGCUUCCCACACCAACACAAGAAGGGCGACGAGAACGAUAAUCUGGUAGCCAUGGAAGUGCCGGACACCGGGAAGAAGGAGCACAGGAAGGAGGAGGACCAAGCAGCUCAACCAUUCCAACCACAUCCACCACACACACCAGGGAGGAGCACGUCGGCGGGAGGGAGAUUGACUUGGUGGAGUACGUCGACAGCCUCGGCCCCAUGUCCACUGCAGGGGCCUUUCUCGAGAAGAAGUACCUAGCGUUAACCGGGAGGAAGUACGACAAGGUGGAAGGAUUGAUCGCCCCGGAGCAAAUAGCCAAGGUGCGCAAGCAAGAGGAGGAAGACGGCGGGGAGAAGAACAAAGGCGUCAUCUAUGAGUUGAUCAGGCAUACCUUGCAUUUAAUGGCCUUGUUUGGUUGCUACUAAAGCCUAGCAUGCACGUUUUUCGAGAAAAAAAAUCUCGCAUGCUUGAAGUACUAAAUGAAGUCUAUUU